rnacentral:piRNA from 1 species
UAUGAUGUUCUGAACAUUACA